CACUCCUGCGGGAGGCAGCAGUGGGGAAUAUUGCACAAUGGGCGCAAGCCUGAUGCAGCCAUGCCGCGUGUAUGAAGAAGGCCUUCGGGUUGUAAAGUACUUUCAGCGGGGAGGAAGGCGAUAAGGUUAAUAACCUUGUUGAUUGACGUUACCCGCAGAAGAAGCACCGGCUAACUCCGUGCCAGCAGCCGCGGUAAUACGGAGGGUGCAAGCGUUAAUCGGAAUUACUGGGCGUAAAGCGCACGCAGGCGGUCUGUCAAGUCGGAUGUGAAAUCCCCGGGCUCAACCUGGGAACUGCAUUCGAAACUGGCAGGCUAGAGUCUUGUAGAGGGGGGUAGAAUUCCAGGUGUAGCGGUGAAAUGCGUAGAGAUCUGGAGGAAUACCGGUGGCGAAGGCGGCCCCCUGGACAAAGACUGACGCUCAGGUGCGAAAGCGUGGGGAGCAAACAGGAUUAGAAACCCCUGUAGUCCCAUGAU
rnacentral:rRNA from 1 species